rnacentral:rRNA from 1 species
UACAGAGGGUGCAAGCGUUAUCCGGAUUUAUUGGGUUUAAAGGGUCCGUAGGCGGACCUAUAAGUCAGUGGUGAAAUCCUAUCGCUUAACGAUAGAACUGCCAUUGAUACUGUAAGUCUUGAGUGUAGUUGAGGUAGCUGGAAUAAGUAGUGUAGCGGUGAAAUGCAUAGAUAUUACUUAGAACACCAAUUGCGAAGGCAGGUUACCAAGUUACAACUGACGCUGAUGGACGAAAGCGUGGGGAGCGAACAGG